GGGGGUGCACUGGCGUUCGACGUGGGUUCGGAAGGUGAAGACUGCGUGUCGCGGGCUCGACGCCGCGUCAAAAACGACGGGAAACACACAGCUGCCAACGACAGCAACUACGGCCGCAUGGCCGUUGCCGCCUAAUAAGCGACACGACGUCGCGUGAGGCGCUCUAGUAGCGCGUCGUCGUCAAUACAGGAGCUAGUCACCGUAGGGCCCCGAUGCGGUGAUGAAAAUCUAGGGGAUCGCUCCCGCGAGGGCCUGCUGAUAGGCAUGCGCGGGGGCUAAAUCCAAGUAUGUCAGCUACGCACGUAGACGUCUCAUCGGAAGGCUUGCGGACCGGGGUUCGACUCCCCGCGCCUCCACUC
rnacentral:tmRNA from 1 species